ACAAUGAAGAGUUUGAUCCUGGCUCAGGAUGAACGCUAGCGACAGGCUUAACACAUGCAAGUCGAGGG
rnacentral:rRNA from 1 species